rnacentral:lncRNA from 12 species
UCAAGGGACUCACAGUCUGUCUGGAAAGGAAUAGAGUGUCCACAGUAUGGUAGUGUUAGAGCACAAUGCAGGAUCAGGAACUACUGUGAGCAUCUAGACACUGCUUACAGGCUCCUCAUCAGCUUCUGGCAAGAGGACACCCUUGUGGCCCAACACCUGUGAGGCUAGUUGGGGAGCAGCCACAGGAGCAAUUCAACACAGUUUGAAGAAGGACCAGCAUGACAGUCAGGACUGGGGUCUUGCGAGGAGCAGACACCCUGGGGUCUUAAUACAGGCUGGGGCCUCUAACAGAACCUAGAAAUCCAGUUCUAAUGCAGAGUAGCUGAGCCUUCACUUUAGUUCUGUGUUGAGAACAUGUGGUCACAGACAGGAAGUGGCUGGAGACCCCUCCUCCAUUUGUCCCCUCUGACCUGGGCAAUCUCCUGGUGCCCAGUCACAGCUUAGGUUCCAUGUGCCUUGAUCAUUUUCCUCAGAGACUCCAGCUUCCCACCUCCUCCCCCCUGUUGUUGCCUUCUCUCUGGGCUCUCUAGGGCCCAGUUCCACAGCCAGACCAGGGCAGGGAGGUCCAGGGACAUGUGUGGUCUGGAGCAGAUCAGAAUGUCCCUAAUUUUAGGAAGAUGAGAUUAAUCCUCUUACUUGAACAGGAUGCUCUGAAGACUGAACACACCUAGCAGGGAGCUAGGUUAUAACCAACUGGAAAAAACAGCCAUGUGAGAGUUCAAUGCACACUGGGCUACCUACAUUGGUUUUGGGAGGCCAAUUUCAUUCUCUGUUCUGGUUUCCUGGAAAUCACAUGAAAUGCAAGAACAUCAAAGACAAAGAGUAUAUUUAAAGGCUUUCAUAUCACCUACAGAAGAACAAGAAUUAGAUCUAUGUUAGACUUCUUAAAAGGAGCACUGGAUGCCAGAAGACAGUUGAAUAAUGUUAUUAAAGGAUUGAAGAAAGGAACUCUGUAAGUAGAAUUUUGUAUCCAGCCAAACUGUCACUCAAAUAUGUGAUUAUAAUACUUUGGUGAGGUGAGGAAAUAAAUGUGAUCAAGUAUCUUGGUAAAUAUUUUUU